rnacentral:rRNA from 1 species
AUGAAGGCCUUCGGGUCGUAAGCUCUUUCGCCAGGGAUGAUAAUGACAGUACCUGGUAAAGAAACCCCGGCUAACUCCGUGCCAGCAGCCGCGGUAAUACGGAGGGGGUUAGCGUUGUUCGGAAUUACUGGGCGUAAAGCGCACGUAGGCGGAUUAGAAAGUCGGGGGUGAAAUCCCAGGGCUCAACCCUGGAACUGCCUUCUAAACUGCUGGUCUGGAGUUCGAGAGAGGUGAGUGGAAUUCCGAGUGUAGAGGUGAAAUUCGUAUAUAUUCGGAGGAACACCAGUGGCGAAGGCGGCUCACUGGCUCGAUACUGACGCUGA